rnacentral:rRNA from 1 species
UAACGAAUAUUCCGCAAUGGACGAAAGUCUGACGGAGCAAUGCCGCGUGCAGGAUGAAGCGGUUUCGCCGUGUAAACUGCUGUCAGGGGCAGGAAAAACUGAUCCGCCCCAAAGGAAGAGACGGCUAACCCUGUGCCAGCAGCCGCGGUAAUACAGGGGUCUCGAGCGUUAAUCGGAAUCACUGGGCUUAAAGGGUGCGUAGGCGGAUCCGUAAGCGCUUUGUGAAAUCCCCCGGCUCAACCGGGGAACUGCAGGGCGAACUGCGGAUCUUGAGGAAACUAGAGGCCGGUAGAACGAUUGGUGUAGCGGUGAAAUGCGUAGAUAUCAAGAGGAACACCUGAGGCGAAGGCGGGUUGCUGGGCUGAUACUGACGCUGAAGCGCGAAAGCUAGGGUAGCAAACGGGAUUAGAUACCCUAGUAGUCCCUGAGCGGGCUGGCAAGGCGCAU